UGCCUCCCAUCCCCACUAGCGCCACAACUUGGAGUUUAGAUGUGGGGGAGCCACACAGCCGGCCUUUGAUCUCCAUGUACCAGAAUGUUGAAUUGGAGGUGUUUUGAGGCCCUUCACUUUCAGAGCUCUGAGGCCUUACGUUAUGGAAUUGCAAGAAAGUCAUUCCCACGGCCCACACUGCAUGACUUC